UUGGAAAAGACUGAUUCUGGGAAAGACUAAGGGAACUGUUACACUGCUUCCUACAGUGACAGCACUGUUUUACUUUCCCACCAUCAGUGUAUGACCGUUACCAUUUCUUCACAACCCUGUCAACGCUUAUUAUAUUUUCUGCUUUUUAUUUUUAUAGCCAUCCUAUGAUGAGUGAUGUAGAAGCUGGUGCUGCCACUGUCUUCCCAUACCUGGGGGCUAUGAUUUCACCCAAGAAGGGUACAGCCAUAUUCUGGUAUAACCUUCUGCGGAGUGGGAAAGACAACUAUCUAACAAAAAUGCUGCCUGUCCUGUGCUUGUGGGCUGCA